rnacentral:rRNA from 1 species
CCUACGGGUGGCAGCAGUGAGGAAUAUUGGUCAAUGGGCGAGAGCCUGAACCAGCCAAGUCGCGUGAGGGAGUACUGCCCUAUGGGUUGUAAACCUCUUUUGUCGGGGAGCAAAAGCCGGACGUGUCCGGCUGUGAGAGUACCCGAAGAAAAAGCAGCGGCGAACUCCGUGCCAGCAGCCGCGGUAAUACGGAGGAUGCGAGCGUUAGCCGGAUUUAUUGGGUUUAAAGGGUGCGCAGGCGGAUUUUUAAGUCAGCGGUAAAAUCGUGGGGCUCAACCCCAUCCAGCCGUUGAAACUGGGGAUCUAGAGUGUGCGAGAGGUAUGCGGAAUGCGUGGUGUAGCGGUGAAAUGCAUAGAUAUCACGCAGAACCCCGAUUGCGAAGGCAGCAUACCGGUGCACAACUGACGCUCAGGCACGAAAGCGUGGGUAUCGAACAGGAUUAGAUACCCGAGUAGUC